rnacentral:rRNA from 1 species
AAGCUCUCAAUCUGUCAAUCCUUCCGGUGUCCGGGCCUGGUGAGAUUUCCCGUGUUGAGUCAAAUUAAGCCGCAGGCUCCACUCCUGGUGGUGCCCUUCCGUCAAUUCCUUUAAGUUUCAGCUUUGCAACCAUACUUCCCCCGGAACCCACAAGCUUUGGUUUCCCGGAAGCUCCCUGCGGGGUCUUGUUUUUACACACCCGCAGAUCGCUAGCUGGCAUCGUUUAUGGUUAGAACUAGGGCGGUAUCUGAUCGCCUUCGAACCUCUAACUUUCGUUCUUGAUUAAUGAAAACAUUCUUGGCAAAUGCUUUCGCAGUAGUUUGUCUUCAAACGGUCCAAGAAUUUCACCUCUGUCGUUUGAAUACAAAUGCCCCCGACUGUCCCUAUUUAUCAUUAUGUCGAGUCCCGAAAACCAACAAAAUAGGAUCGACAUCCUAUUCUAUUAUUCCAUGCACGAAUAUUCAGGCAUUUUAGCCUGCUUUGAGCACUCUAAUUUUUUCAAAGUAAACCUGCUGGCAUCCAGAGACACUCGAUCAAGAGCACCCCUAAACCUCCAGCAAAAGCACAACCUACAAAGCAGUAAAACUACAAAGUUAACCGCUUCAAGGCUGUUGAGAUCCAACUACGAGCUUUUUAACCACAACAACUUUAAUAUACGCUAUUGGAGCUGGAAU